rnacentral:sRNA from 1 species
ACCCGGUAAUGAUUUUUUUAGAGAAGUUAUAAAGUGUGUUUUGUAGAUUAUUAAAGUGUUAUGAAUAAGUUAAAACUACAUCUAGAUAGAAAACCCGAUUUGAUAAACGAGUAAUAUCUAGAAGCUGAGUUUGGAUGCCGCAUCGAAUCUAGAUGCAGCAUUCCAGCUACACAAAUGAUGGGAGGUUAAACAUCACAAAACAUAUGUUAAAGAAUUCAU